rnacentral:misc_RNA from 1 species
GUUCAUUACUAAGCAACACUCUGAUUACAAUACAAUCCUUCCAACGAUCUCUCACCACUACACCCCCAAGUCGACAAUUAACGAUUCUUCCACACCAAGCAGUACUUUUAGCAUCCUAGCUACUUUAGAUCCCAGCACAAAGCUACAAGCCAAUUAAGAAUUAGGAUCAAUAUCAGUCAAAAGGAAGACAUCAUCCAUUGCGCCACCUUCUCCACCAAGAGGAAGGGGUAGCUCCUUGUGGGGCAGGAGGUGUAAGAAUCUCCAGCAUAGUUUCCUUCUCUUUUGGGGUUAAUGGAACACCUCUAACAAGGUUCAAUGCCAUGAUGUGCACAUUAGUCUUUUGCCUGUGCUUGUUGUAAGCCCAUAUUCCACCAGCAGCACCUGCAACUAGAAGCGGUGAUAGCCACAAGGCUGCAGUCUGCAGAUCAAACUUUGGGGCAUAAAGUACUGUUUCCCCAAAAUCAUCCUCAAGCUUUUUGUAGAUCUCUUUGUCAGUCUUCCCAGCUUGAAUCUCAUCACGAAUCAGCUUC